rnacentral:lncRNA from 1 species
GAACACAAAAUGGCGACACGUGGUUAGCAUUCGUCGCCAACGAGAAAUUGGGGUCGGCCCGAAAGCUCUAGAAUGCACCCCUCUUCCUCCCCGGGGCCUUCCACCUCCGCGAGUUUUAUGACUUAAAAAAGCCCACAGGCUGGUCUGAAGAGGAAGACAAACAUAAAGAUGAAGUGCUUAAUUCAAGGUCACACAAUGUCGGGGAUGGACCUCCAGAUUUCCUUACUGGUCACAGAAUUUUCCACACUCCUUGACAGAGGUGCUUAACCCUUAUCCAUCAGCAUUCUCAGACAGCACCUCCGGUUAGGGACAGUAUCUGACCGUCCGACAUCCCUGCAGCCCCCAUGUGUCACACAGACUCAGCCUCAGGUAGAUGGUUUCCGUAGAUGGUGGCUUUCUUUGGACCCUUGACAUCAACCAGUUACUAUUUGGGGACCAGAUGUGCAGAGGUAAUGAAUACCAGGGAAUCAGGAAACCACUGGAUCAGUUCUUUGAGCCACAGAACAACACUCAUCCCAGCAGCUGGGAAGCUAUCUGCAAAAGUCCAUCUGCAGAAAGGGCUUCCUGGUCUUGCGUGUGGCUGGGCCAUUUCUCUGGAUGCAGGUUUUUCAUUAUACAGUCUUCUCAAAGAACCA